rnacentral:rRNA from 1 species
AUGGAUCCCGGUGCUGUUCGUGAGGUCUUGAAAUCCGCAGAAGAAUAUCACUGGCAAAUGGAGCGACGUGACAGGGAAGGGGUGCUGCAAGGGCUGCAUUACGCUGAAAGUGAUGGAUGUAGCACCUCUGGCACCGAGGAUGUGCUGCUAUUCGACCAGUUGAUGGGUGUAGUAGAAGAGCUCUCUGGGCGUGUAGCGACUAUGGAGAAGAAACAGGCUUCCUCCAUCGACAAAGUCAAAUACCUACGUGGAGAAAAUGGCAGGUUGCUGAAAAAAGUUGUUGAGCUGAAUGGCACUGUGAAGGGCUUGAAUUCUCAAAUAGACCCUUUACCCCGAGAUGAUUCAGUAAACCAGUUGAUUAAACAGUGUUUGGGUUCAGACGUCAUUUAUCUUGUUGGUGGUCUAGAUGACAUGUUUUGUCCAUCGUCACUAGGUUUCUCAUGCUUUUCGCCCUCCCUGGACGUACUAAUACCUAUGAAACCAAUGCCUGAUGAAAGGCUUUUUAAUUCUACUGUUGCCUUAGACAACAGAAUAUUUGUUCUGGGCGGUGCUGAUCAUCCGUAUGGAAGCAGCAUUGAUGCAGGUGCUGAUCAUUUUUAUGUUUACCUUCCCAAAAUCUCUCUGGUUGCCAUUUCUGCCCUAAUAUGUGCUUUUAAUCUUUAUCAUGAAGUUUGCUGUUAUGACACAACCUCUGAUGAUUGGACCCUAUGCCUACCAAUGAUCCGUGCAAAGGCAAACCUUGCCGGAGUUAGCUUGUGUGGGAAAAUCUAUGCAUUUGGUGGUGGAGAUGGUUCAAAAUCUUUUCAUGAUGUUGAGGUCUUCGAUCCUGCAUAUGGGAAGUGGAUAAAGAAUCAGCCUAUGCUGAGAAAGCGCUCUGCUCUAGCUGGUGUGGAACUCAAUGGUGCGAUUUAUGCGGUUGGUGGAUAUGAUGGUAUUGAAACUUGGAGCUGCGCUGAGAGACUUGAUCCUAGGGAACCUCACUGGAAAAUGCUCCCAAGCAUGAAUACACAAAGAUGCUUCCAUACGCUGGCAGUUCUUGAUGAGAAGAUAUACUCGAUUGGUGGUUACAAUCCUGAGGCUAGAGCAGGGGUGGCCACUGUUGAGCUGUACGACCCAAGGAUGCCAUCAUGGGUGGCAGUCAAACCAAUGAAGUAUUCCAAGAUCUUGGACGUGGUAGAGUGCUACAGCGAAGGGUGUGGUUGGGUGAAUACAGCGCUCAAGUCAAUCGGCAGGAGAAGCCAUUGUUCUGCCAUUGUCUACUGA